AACGUAGGACACAGGCGUUAUCCGGAGUUACUGGGCGUAAAGAGCGUGUAGGCGGCCACUUAAGUCCUGCGUGAAAUCUUGCGGCUCAACCGCAAGCGGCCAUUGGAAACUGGGAGGCUUGAGUACAGAAGAGGAGAGUGGAAUUCCACGUGUAGCGGUGAAAUGCGUAGAUAUGUGGAGGAACACCAGUGGCGAAGGCGACUCUCUGGUCUGUAACUGACGCUGAGGCGCGAAAGCGUGGGGAGCAAACAGG
rnacentral:rRNA from 1 species